CUCUUCAGUGCUUAAUCCUCUCAAGAUUGACUUUAAAGGGAGCAAUCUUGCUAUUGAUUUUUCAUGGGAGUGUGGAGGGAGGUGCAUGUGUUUCCAUCUGUCAUCUGUCCUAACAUUUGGAAGAUUGCUGUGCUCUGCAGGGCGGUGCUGUCUGUCCCUUUCCAGAGGGGGAUGCUUGCCUGUUUCUGGCUCAAUUCCUUUAGUUUGGGAGUCUUAUGCUGUGGGAUUUAGGCUCACUUGACUAAGAGUUUGCUGUGAAAUUGCUUAUGGUCAGCUACGCCCAGGAAAUGGUAUUGGGGGGAAGCACUGGUAAAGUAAUUUGGUGCCUUGGUUUUCUACUGGCUCAGAUUUCUGAGUCCUUCCUGCUGCUGGGCGAGAAGACUGUAAACAGAACUAAUGCUCUGCACAAUGGGGUUCUGACUUGUUUCAGCUCCUUAGCUGUUGUGACCCCUCGUAAAACAGGGACUUCAUUGUCCUGAGCAACUCAGACAGGGAGUCCUCUGCCUCAAGCAGUGUGCGAUGCAGAGAGAGGCUUCUUUUCUUGUUGCUCUAUUUCCACGGAAAGGCUGGGCUCUGUGCUGUCUUUAGCUCCUUUGUCCCUCGCUGGGAGAGGUCAACUUAUCCUAAGUGUUCAGCUGCCCUCCUGGUUAAAACUGAUCCUCCAACACCAUCUCUGCCACUGGAGAAACAAAUGGGAAACUUCUCAUACAUCUUCAUCUCUCGCUCCCCUUUUUCUUUCUUUCUUAGGGAAUCAUGAUACUUCAGUUUCUCUGGACCCCUUUUUCCUCACCUCUUGCCCUUUGAAGUCUAUCUAUUAUAUGAAACAAGUUGUGAAACUGUAGAAAUGACAGCUAAAAUUUUAAAGUUCGGCAGCAGAACGAGGACUAAUAAUGCACUUCUAUAUAGAUCAGAGUUGGUUUUCUGAUCUGCUGCUCAGACAGAUAAAUCCCUUAUACUAAAGUGCUGUAACUAGAGGGGUGAAAAGCCUGUCCAUGGCGACAAAACAAAUCUGUUUGACUCAAACUAAUGUGUUAGUUGUGAUACCCUGAAUCUGAUGCAGCUUUGGAGACAGCCAGAGCAGAUUCUGAGUGCAGUUGUAUGUGCUAAUGGAAAAUCAGUGUGAGUGAAUAGGAUCUCUGGUCCCAGUUUCCUGCUCUGGUCUCAGCCUAUGCUUCCUUCUUUGUGUACUGAUCCUGUGUGUCCCUUUUUGUCUGAUGCGGAAGCUGUUAAUGAAGAUGCUCUUCUGCUCCAGCUGCAUGAAAGCGAGACAUUGUCUGUGGGAAGCUUUCUCACACUAUCAUGAGGCCUGUCCUAGCUAACUGAGGUUUAGUAACAAACCCUGGGAGUACAGGUUAUCAUGUCUUAUUAAGAAAUUGCAUUUUAAAAUGUUAAGUAGGGAACUGUCUCAUCUGUGGCAGGAUUACUACAUCCAGUAGUGCAGAGUAGAAGCAAGAAGUGGCACCAUUACUUUCCACUUCGGUUGAAGUUGAAUGGGUUAGUGAAUAAGUUGUGAUAUCAAAUUGGUUUCACUUGAUUUAAGUGCUGGCUGCUGAGGUGUUCCCUGUGGCCAUCUCCCUUGCUUGUGUCCACAAUAACUGUUGGACAGUUAACUGCAUCAGCAAGCUGAUUCUUCUCAAAGUCAUUUUUUUACAUGGACAGUAGACUGGGAAGUGAGGCUACCUCUUUCAUUGAUGGGUUAUGUUUAAUAUAGCAUAAGGCAACCAUUUCUCCACAGCCUCAAAAAUGUACCCUAACUUAAGACAUGUUGUUUCUCUGUGUGUGAAACGGGUAAUUUCUUCUUACCUGCAAAGUGUGGUUAUGUUGGUUGAGAUCUUUGUGUUUCUGAAAUAGCUUCCAGCUGAAAAGCUUCUUUCAAGCUUUUCUGGUCACUAUUGCUGAAAAAGUUUACAGUGUCAAGUUUGAAUUAGAUUUACACAUUUUUAUUCCUUUCUCAGCCACGUUGAAUAUUCCCUAUGUGCCUUUCUGAUUGCUCAUCCUUUCCUUACCCCCCGUUAUGACAGGCUGUGAGUAGGGAGAAAAGAUUUUCUUUCCCUUCCAAGUUCCCCGCAGUAGUUCUACCCUAGUCUUUCCCUUUACCACAGAGCGUCAUGAAGUCAUUCAAGGAAUGUUGUGUGCUAAAGAUAUACCAUAAAAAAUAGGAGAUGGCUGAUGACUUCCUCAGAUCAGUUUUAGCUGUUUUUCCCACUCAUGCUCAUUCUCUUUGCAAACGACCCCAGAGCAGCAGCAACCAGCUGGCUGGGGACAGUCUCCCUCGGCUGAUGGGUGUUAAAUUCCAUGCUUUCUCUUCUGUGCAUGUGUGCUUUUAAAUCCCGAUGAAGCAAACAAGUUGAACUGGCAACUGGAGUGCUGUGGAACAAGUUUGGUGUUGGUGUUUCAGUUACAGGAACUGGGUCCCUGAGGUUAUGUUUUUGUGCUGUUUAGCAGUCUGGUAAACUCUUUUUUUUUACUCACACAAAUGCGGCUUUUUCUUUUAGCAGACAGUAACUAUUCUGAAUUUACAUGGAAAAUUUAUCUAAGCAGUUUGAGACAACUGUAAACUGAGGAGCCAGAAGAACUUAUGGCAGGCCACAGGGGGAGGCAGCCUGCAUUGUUAGUGCUUGGCUCCUUUUCCUUGAGCUGGACUGUCUCUACCCUGUGAACAAGUUCAGUUCAAGUUAUUUAAAUGAUGAUGAGGUAGUCUGAAGUUGUCCAGUGCAGCUUGUCGUGCCACUUCUCACAGUGUCCUUAUUACCAUGAGCACAUCUGUGAAGAUGGCUCUGCUGGGUGAGGUACGGAGUGCCUGGCUGGCAGCAUGCAGUGGAGUGUAGCUUGAUUUCUUGUGGUUUUUUACUGUUUAUUGCAUGUGUUUAAACCUCUAACAUUUUGCAAAUCAUUUGAAGAACAUAAAAAAAAGUAAAUGGCACUCCAGGGAAUAAACCUUCUGAAUGACACUCUGCAUGGGGAAUUGUGCUUUAAAUGGCUCAGCUAUAAAUCAGACUGUAUGGGGGCUCCAGGAAUAAACCAGUCCCGUGUUUUUGUCACAGAACUGAGCUGGCAGACAGAAUUAAUCUGUCUGUGUCUGUCUAGAUGCCUCACAGGAUCUUGCUUUAUUUCCAUUGCUGAAGAGGAAGGUCAACAGAGAAUUUCACUUUGUGCUAUGGGGAAGUGGUUCAGGGACUGUGGUUAGGCUGAGUUUUAAUAAGAACAGGAGGUGGUAAAAGAAGCCAGAGGUAGAAAAGGUCAUGGGCAGGAGGGCUGUAAAUAAUUUGCCAUGGCUUAGGGGCUUAGUAUUCCCUUGUUUUAUCCUCUUUCAUGGUUCUAAACCAGUUCAGGGCAUCUCUGUGAAAAAGCUGCUUUUGGGUUGAAGCCACUAAUUUCAGCUGGGUCAGGCAAAAAAGCCUAGGGCUAACUGCAUGUCAGUUGAGGUUACUGGUGCCCUAUGAGCUGGAAUGAGCUGUUGGCUUGGUUGUUCUCUGUUGCUCAUCUUGUUUUACCAUUAAUUGCAUCUGUUGCUCACUGUUUCUCAGCACCACUAGCUGCCUCGGGACUAGGUUUGGGUUGUUGGUUUUUGUUUGUUUUUUUUUUUUUUUCUUUCUCUGCUAGCAAAUGACCCCUUUAGGGCAGAGGUGAUCCCCAAGAGUAAGGUGCCUAGAGUAGUACUCAUGGUUUGAAGCUCCUGUUCAUUAUGGUUUUAUAUGGGAGACUUCUUUUGGGCUGUGUAGGCCUGGUCAGACAGUGUGACACACAGCUGGAACUAUUCUGCCUGGCUGUGAGCAACUCCAGCAGUUAGACAGGAUCCCUGCAGAGAGCUGGAGCACUGGGGGAGGGAAGAAAUGCCAUUUCAUCCACGUCAUGAAUCUCUUAUCAGUGGCCAACUCAGUGUUGUGAGUGGGUGAGCUGCACUUGAAGAAGCUGCCUUUUAUUUCUCUGAGGAGCUCAGCACUGUCAGUCAGGCUGAGAACUGUAGAGUGGCUAUGUGGAGUUUGAGAUUAAUUUGUCAGUCAUGUUCUUAUAACCCUAAACUUGUAGUUUUCAAUCUAUCCUGUUUGUACUUAAUCUGAGAUUUGCUGCUUGGCUGUCCUGAGCAGUUUGCUUGGGCAGUGCCUCACAGCUGCUCUGGCAUUGUGCUCCUGUACUUCUUAACUGCUUAAAUCCAGUGCUUCCAGCACCUCCUGUCUUGGGGUCACGCUUAAAAGCCUUGGUGUGAAUUAGAGAGAAAAUCUGUUAGGUUAUCAUUCAUUUUUCUGGUAGGGUUGGUUAAGGGCUUCAUUUGUUGGAUGCUACUUUCCCAUCAAAUGUGAGGGAGAUGUCUACUUGAAACAGAUCACCAUGGUCUGGCUGUGGUGCUGUGAAACUCUGAGAGCUUCUGGGCUGUCUGGGUCUGCUGGAGCCCCUGAUUGUGUUGCUUGGGUCUGGAAAGUGCUGUGUGUGGGGUGGGAGAGCCAGGGGGCUGCGAGGCAUUCGGAGGGUGGCUCUGGUGUGGUCCUGGCCUUGCAGGGUCGGGAGGCUGUUUGCUGGGGAGGAGGGGUUGAAGGAAGGGGCUGGGGGUGGUGCAGAGAGGAAGCUUUAUGUAAUUCUUGGCUGGCUUUUGAAUAAUUGUUUUAAUGAAAUGGAAUGCAGUGUAUUCAGUACUUGCUUGGCAGAAACAACGUUUUUUUUUUGCUGUUUUCUAUAUUGGAGGGGGAAAAGGAGCCGGAGUUGCUCUGUUUUCCAGCUGCUUUAAACACUCUAGGCUUGCAUUUGUCACAAAAACAGAAGUGGAAUAUUUUUCUUGGUGAGGGGGCAGUUGCACUGCUGUGCAUGUGUGAGACGUUGUCGUUGUCAUUGUACAUUGGAUGUGUAAGUGCAGAGUCUGGUCCCUGGGUUUCUCUGAGGGCUGUGGAUGCCAGUGUGGUUGAGGUGGAGCAGGUUAACUUUAAAGUACCCAGCAGUAAUGGGAUGUGAGUGAUGUAAGUACACGUCCAUAUAAAAUAUGCGUGCAUCCAGGUACUUGAUGAGAAAAUUCAUCUCUUUUCCUCUGUGCCCUAGUUCAGGGCAUAGCGGGGAAGAACAUGAUGAGCUGAGACAAAGAAGUCAACUUAAUUUUCAGUGAAGCAAAUAUGUAGGCCCUGGGAAUCUUGACUUCUCUAGACUUGUGCAAAGCAGUCUCUCCAGUUUUCUCAGAGGAUUGGUGACUUUUAUCAUAGGAUUGGUGGAGGGACAGUCAGAGAUCAUGCUGAAAACCCUUUUUUAGAAAGCAAUUUGAAGAAGGAUUUAUUUCAUGAACCUCCGAAAGGGAAGUUUAUUCUCAUGCUGCUUCUAUUUCAGUAUUGCUGCCAUUUCCAUUUUUGGUCAGUGCUGGAGAUCGGUCUCUCUUAGUCAUCUUUACCUCUCAAAAAUAUACUUUCUUUUUAGUCUUUGUAAUUUUUUCCUCAGUUACUCUUUUCUGCAGUCAAGAGUUCUCUUGUGAGUAGCAGCCUUUGGUUGAUAGAAUAACAUUUUUCUUUAUCAAAUAACAGCAACAACUUGUGUUCAGGGCACUGAGAUGAAGAAGCUGUCAUGCAUUUAAUUGCUUUACUAAUACUGCUCUUGGUAAAAUAUGCUCACUAUUUCUCUUGCUGCUGCUGAAACAACCAAGAGACUUGUGACUGGUACUUGUGUCAUGAUACCAGAUGACAGGUACAGUGAUGGGUCAUCUACCUUCUCAUGUAGGAAGAGAUAAGAAAACCUUAAACAUUCUCCAUCUCUUCUCCAUCCACUGGCUCAAAUAUACUCCAGUUCUAAAAAUGUUAGUUUUCUAUCUAGAUUUAACAAUUUUCUUUCUUGCAGUGGGCCAGCGUCAUGACAUUGUGAAACUCUUGAGCCACAUUCUUCUGCCAAUGCUAAAAAAACCCAAAAAAACACCCCUAAGAGCUCUGCAGCUACAGAGCCAUCAGCAGUCUCCAUCGAAUUGCCACCCACAUCUCCCAGAGUGGACUGGAGGACCAGUUCCCACAUUCAUUUCUGAAACACUGUCCUCCUUUCAUUCCCAGAAACUGUUUUUAAAGUGAAAAGAAGCUGCUUUAAUUAGUUUUUUAACCAUUUGCUUCUUGGCCCCUUGUACUCUGUUGUCUUUCAAAGCUGUUGCUUGCCCACUAUCUGCAAUAACUUGGGUUAUUUUUAAGUUACAGUGCAGUGCUCAUCAGACUGAAAGCUUCAUUUUAAAACUUUCUCCCUAUUAUAGUUAUAAGCAGUACCAAGAUCCACAUGACUGAAAAAUGUGAAAUAUUUUGUUGUCAUUUCCCCCUGCCCUGUUCUGUGAGUUUACAUUGUGCUUUUGGCAGCGCUUUGUGUAAAGUCAGUUUUUGAUGAUGACUUACACUUUUUGGCUUACAAAGAUUUUGGUAUUGCUUCCAAGUCUGUUCCCACCCUGUUGCAGAGAACCUUUGCAGAAAUGAAAACUUCUUAAAAGAAACAUCCACCAUUUUGAGAGUACUUCCUUAAUAAUUAGAUUUUUAACAAGCCAGUUAAACCACAUUUGACACAAGUUCCCAUUUUAAAAGAAGGGAGACAACCCACUUCAGAGUGGUUGGCAGGUCAGGCCACAAAGUCUUUAUUUAUAUCUCAAUAUAAUAACCUUUUAUCUGGGUGAGAUUUGGUGUGACUCUGUAUCUCCUUAUUGACACAGGCUUUUAAAUCUUGAUAUACCUUGGUUUUUUAAGGGUAGAUUUGCAUUUGUUGAAUAUUAUUUGCAUUUAUGCUUUUGGGAGCUAUGCUUGUUACUUACUGAAUGGGAAGUUGCUGAAGCUAAUGAAAAGUAUGUGUUUCAAGGUCUAAAAUCUGCCAAGUCUGCAUUCUGAUAUCCCAUUUAGGAGCCUUCAGGAUAGGAAUGCCUCAAUAAAACUGUACUAAAUAUGGGUAUGAUUACAGAGUCUCUUUAGUAUCCCCACUCUUUAUUACUGGAGUCCUCCUUUUGCUGGUAGCCAGGGCACUCUACAUCUCAUUGGCAGAAUUUGUGCUUCUAAUGCUUUUAAUGAAUUCAGAAUUCUUUUAAUGAAUUCAGAAUUUACACUAGUAUUUCAGUCUUUUAUUUCAUCAUCUUUAUGUGUGUCUCAAAUUUUGUAACUGGCACUUUGCCUAGAUGGGUCUAUAUUCAGAUCUGUUUAUGCUGCCUGGAUAGGAUUUCCACAGCUUAAAAGAUGCUGGUUUUUCCCCCUCAAGUUCUAUGUCCAUUAUUGCAUAACCAUGCAGAUCCUGCUCUUCCCUUUAUUGGUAAUAAGGUCCACAUGCUUUCCUGUUUCUGUUACUUUUAAAAAGGCAGAUAAUUAACUUGGAAUGUGCAAGCUCUGACAGUAUUUUGUCUGCUGCGACUGUGUCCAAACCCAUUUUUACAUAAGCAGAUGGAGAGGAUCACAGGGAUCCUCAGCAAUGUUGUUACUGGCUGUGUGUUGCCUGUGUGCUGCUGGGGUGUCAGAGGUGGUGGUCCUGCUGCUGCUGAAAGGGGAGAUGGCUUUACUUUUCCUAAUCUUUUCACCUUCUGUGUUUUCUGACUGCUUGGACAUGGCCCUUCCUGCUGACUGCUGUGUUCAUCUCUUCCCUGACCCAAAAGAAGACAGUCAGCUUUUUUCCACUGGCUGUGUAUUCUGUUGGACUGGUUCAUAGAGGGAUCUUGUGAGAGCCAGAGCUUGUACAAGUAAGUGGCAGCAGCACAUGUCUGGAAGAGGGAGUAAAACUUCUCCAUUUUUGGCAGCGGUGAGCUGUUAAUUUGCUUUUCUGCAUCUUAUGAAACUGUAUCCUUCACUCCAGGGUGCUCACUGUCCAGUGGAACUCCUGUGCUCCUGUAAACCCUGAUGUAACAUGUUUUCCUUCCCUAGAUGAGUUAGAAUCGGCACUUAGCAAAUUAUGAUCUCCAAGCUGACAAGUGCUUUACAGCUGUUGCGAGGGGUCCCCUUGAGAGGUCAAAUCCACGCCCUUCUCAUUUCCACCUGAGGGCUCUGGAGCACAAGUACACCGGGAUUGCUGCUGCCCAGAGAUUUGGAGACCACUGCUGUGUGUUCACAAUGUUGUGAUUUGCCACUGUUGAUUUCACACUAAGAGGAGAGCAGAUCCUGUUGGACUUCUAGAAGCUUUCAUAGGGAAGGCAGCAGCAAAUGAAAAUUAUGACAUGCAAAAGGAGGGUUAAUGUAAUAUUCUGCAUGUGUAAGGAUAAAUAAAGGACUAAAAAAGA